ACUUCAAUAAGAUAAUUUCAUGGGGUUUUUAAUAAUAGGUCUCACCAGUAGAAAUAAUUUUGAAAAGUAAAGAAAGAAGAUCAAUAGACGUCACCUUGAAUGUUGCUAACUAUGGUAUCAAGAAUUCCGAAAACGAAAUCCGUGGUUAUCUCAAGGGAUUUAUACGAGUGGCACCUAUGCACAAGUAUAAUCAAUGAGUUUAUUUAGCAUGAAUAUUAAAAGUUGUUUGAAUGUGGGCAUUCAUUAUAGUAUAAAGACAAAAUGCUAUUCAAUCUUCAGAUACAAAGCAGAUUGCUUUUCACGCAGUGACGGUGUCAUGUUUACACCUACUCAAAUACAGUUAGAGGCAACCAUUGUUCAACCAAAACUUUUCAACAAGAUUACUGAAGACGACAGAACUUUCCAAAUUUUGACCUCCAGCUCCCAAAAAGAAAUGAAAGAAAAUCGAAAGUAUGUGUUUUAUAACAACACUGGAGAGCCAAUGUUCAUUAAUGCUCAAUCAACUAACCCAUUUCAAGUGCUGACUUUGUGUACUUCCAAGACUACAAUCAAUCCAUUAGAAUCUGAUGGCAUAUGUGUUACUCCUGGACACAGUGUGGAGGUGAAUCUAAUUUGCGUUGUCGAUGCUGAUUGCAUUUAUCAAGCGAUGGAAUCCCAUAAAUGCAAAGAUACAGAUACGUCAUUCAUUGAUAUGGAAAAAAAUUUGCUCAUUCAACAUAUUGGGACUUGCAAUCAGGAAUAUAGGCAAGUCUGAUGAAGUUUUAGAAAUAUUUACAACUGUACCAAAUUAUGUAGAGAAAUGCGUCAUGGAAGGGUGUGGAAGUUGGGAUCAUGAGACGACUUAUGACAGAGGCGGAUAAAAGUUGAACAUAUAGAGAAACAAGCUAGAGAUGAUUCAUCUGGGCCAAAUCUGCAUACGUAUUUCAGUUGCUCGGCGUUUAAACCAACUACUUUAUAUCCAGAAGUACCAAUGUUUGGAAGACCAAGUGAGUACAACGUUUUUCUCACUGGUUCCAAUUCUAAACAUGGAAAUGACUUCAAUGCCCAAGAUACAAUACCCUCAUUCUCGCCAACUGUUACCGUACAAGUACUGUACACUAAAACUCCACCUGGCUUUAGUAGAUCGACAGCCUGUUGAAAGAUGUUCAUUUAUUAUGGAGCUUUGUGUAUUAUUAUCAAACUGAGCAACGAAUAUAUGUUUCAAGGUUUGAACAAUUUUGGUAAAUUGGUAUCAAAUUAAUGCAAGCGUAUAAAUAUAUAUUUUGGAGUAUCAUCAAUUUUGGCUUUGGUAUUGAAAGUUCAAUUUUUUUUUUUUUUUAAUU